rnacentral:rRNA from 1 species
GACGAACGCUGGCGGCGUGCUUAACACAUGCAAGUCGAACGGAAAGGCCCUGCUUUUGUGGGGUGCUCGAGUGGCGAACGGGUGAGUAACACGUGAGUAACCUGCCCUUGACUUUGGGAUAACUUCAGGAAACUGGGGCUAAUACCGGAUAGGAGCUCCUGCUGCAUGGUGGGGGUUGGAAAGUUUCGGCGGUUGGGGAUGGACUCGCGGCUUAUCAGCUUGUUGGUGGGGUAGUGGCUUACCAAGGCUUUGACGGGUAGCCGGCCUGAGAGGGUGGCAGGCCACAUUGGGACUGAGAUACGGCCCAGACUCCUACGGGAGGCAGCAGUGGGGAAUAUUGCACAAUGGGCGGAAGCCUGAUGCAGCAACGCCGCGUGCGGGAUGACGGCCUUCGGGUUGUAAACCGCUUUCGCCUGUGACGAAGCGUGAGUGACGGUAAUGGGUAAAGAAGCACCGGCUAACUACGUG